rnacentral:lncRNA from 10 species
UCUUUUGAGCUUUUAGCUAUCGCCAAAGCCUCUGACUGUUCUUCUCUCAAGGCACUUCACUGGGCCUGACUGCAGAAGCACUGCCUGGAGGUGUAGGAAACAUCUCACAAAAAUGGAGCUGAAGGCCAUGGUCUCGGAUGAAAGAGGACAGAGCUCAAAAUAGGAUAUGAAAAAUGGAUAAGCCCAAGGAAAUGAAGAGAAUGUAAGAGAUAAGAAGAGCAGACAAGAACUUUUAA